rnacentral:rRNA from 1 species
AUUGAACGCUGGCGGAAUGCUUUACACAUGCAAGUCGAACGGUAGAGGGGGCAACCCCUCGAGAGUGGCGAACGGGUGAGUAAUAUAUCGGAACGUGCCCAGUCGUGGGGGAUAACGUAGCGAAAGUUACGCUAAUACCGCAUAUGAUCUAAGGAUGAAAGCGGGGGAUCGCAAGACCUCGCGCGAUUGGAGCGGCCGAUAUCAGAUUAGGUAGUUGGUGGGGUAAAGGCUCACCAAGCCAACGAUCUGUAGCUGGUCUGAGAGGACGACAGCCACACUGGAACUGAGACACGGUCCAGACUCCUACGGGAGGCAGCAGUGGGGAAUUUUGGACAAUGGACGCAAGUCUGGUCCAGCCAUUCCGCGUGCAGGAUGAAGGCCCUCGGGUUGUAAACUGCUUUUGUACGGAACGAAAAGGUCUCUCUUAAUACGGGGGACUCAUGACGGUACCGUAAGAAUAAGCACCGGCUAACUACGUGCCAGCCGCCGCGGUAAUAC